GAUGAACGCUGGCGGCGUGCCUAAUACAUGCAAGUCGAGCGAACAGACGAGGAGCUUGCUCCUCUGACGUUAGCGGCGGACGGGUGAGUAACACGUGGAUAACCUACCUAUAAGACUGGGAUAACUUCGGGAAACCGGAGCUAAUACCGUAUAACAUGUUGAACCGCAUGGUUCAACAGUGAAAGACGGUCUUGCUGUCACUUAUAGAUGGAUCCGCGCCGCAUUAGCUAGUUGGUAAGGUAACGGCUUACCAAGGCAACGAUGCGUAGCCGACCUGAGAGGGUGAUCGGCCACACUGGAACUGAGACACGGUCCAGACUCCUACGGGAGGCAGCAGUAGGGAAUCUUCCGCAAUGGGCGAAAGCCUGACGGAGCAACGCCGCAUGAGUGAAGAAGGUCUUCGGAUCGUAAAACUCUGUUAUUAGGGAAGAACAAAUGUGUAAGUAACUAUGCACGUCUUGACGGUACCUAAUCAGAAAGCCACGGCUAACUACGUG
rnacentral:rRNA from 1 species